UACGGGGGGGGCAAGCGUUGUUCGGAAUUACUGGGCGUAAAGGGCUCGUAGGUGGCCAACUAAGUCGGACGUGAAAUCCCUCGGCUUAACCGGGGAACUGCGUCUGAUACUGGAUGGCUUGAGAUUGGGAGAGGGAUGCGGAAUUCCAGGUGUAGCGGUGAAAUGCGUAGAUAUCUGGAGGAACACCGGUGGCGAAGGCGGCAUCCUGGGCCAACACUGACGCUGAGGAGCGAAAGCCAGGGGAGCAAACGGG
rnacentral:rRNA from 1 species